UACGAAGGGUGCAAGCGUUACUCGGAAUUACUGGGCGUAAAGGGUGCGCAGGCGGUUCGUUAAGUCUGUCGUGAAAUCCCCGGGCUCAACCCGGGAAUGGCGAUGGAAACUGGGCAGCUAGAGUGUGUCAGAGGAUGGUGGAAUUCCCGGUGUAGCGGUGAAAUGCGUAGAGAUCGGGAGGAACAUCAGUGGCGAAGGCGGCCAUCUGGGACAACACUGACGCUGAAGCACGAAAGCGUGGGGAACAAACAGG
rnacentral:rRNA from 1 species